rnacentral:rRNA from 1 species
UUGUCUCAAAGAUUAAGCCAUGCAUGUCUCAGUACAAGCCAAAUUAAGGUGAAACCGCGAAAGGCUCAUUAAAUCAGUUAUGGUUCCUUAGAUCGUACCCACAUUUACUUGGAUAACUGUGGUAAUUCUAGAGCUAAUACAUGCAAACAGAGCUCCGACCGGAAACGGAAGGAGCGCUUUUAUUAGAUCAAAACCAAUCGGUGGCGGUUUCCGUCAUCGUACAACUUGGUGACUCUGAAUAACUUUAUGCUGAUCGCACGGUCUCGCACCGGCGACGCAUCUUUCAAAUGUCUGCCUUAUCAACUGUCGAUGGUAGGUUCUGCGCCUACCAUGGUUGUAACGGGUAACGGGGAAUCAGGGUUCGAUUCCGGAGAGGGAGCCUGAGAAACGGCUACCACAUCCAAGGAAGGCAGCAGGCGCGCAAAUUACCCACUCCCGGCACGGGGAGGUAGUGACGAAAAAUAACGAUACGGGACUCAUCCGAGGCCCCGUAAUCGGAAUGAGUACACUCUAAACCCUUUAACGAGGAUCAAUUGGAGGGCAAGUCUGGUGCCAGCAGCCGCGGUAAUUCCAGCUCCAAUAGCGUAUAUUAAAGUUGUUGCGGUUAAAAAGCUCGUAGUCGAAUCUGUGUCCCGCGCCGCCGGUUCAUCGUUCGCGGUGUCAACUGGCGUGCCGCGGGACGUCCUGCCGGUGGGCUUAGCUCGAGAGGGCGGCCCAACUCAAUCCCGCCGCGGUGCUCUUCAUUGAGUGUCGAGGUGGGCCGGCACGUUUACUUUGAACAAAUUAGAGUGCUUAAAGCAGGCUAAAACUUCGCCUGAAUACUGUGUGCAUGGAAUAAUGGAAUAGGACCUCGGUUCUAUUUUGUUGGUUUUAGGAACCCCGAGGUAAUGAUUAAUAGGAACGGAUGGGGGCAUUCGUAUUGCGACGUUAGAGGUGAAAUUCUUGGAUCGUCGCAAGACGGACAGAAGCGAAAGCAUUUGCCAAAAACGCUUUCAUUGAUCAAGAACGAAAGUUAGAGGUUCGAAGGCGAUCAGAUACCGCCCUAGUUCUAACCAUAAACGAUGCCAGCUAGCGAUCCGCCGACGUUCUUUCGAUGACUCGGCGGGCAGCUUCCGGGAAACCAAAGCUUUUGGGUUCCGGGGGAAGUAUGGUUGCAAAGCUGAAACUUAAAGGAAUUGACGGAAGGGCACCACCAGGAGUGGAGCCUGCGGCUUAAUU